ACGGGAGGCAGCAGUGGGGAAUAUUGGACAAUGGGGGAAACCCUGAUCCAGCGACGCCGCGUGAGUGAAGAAGUAUUUCGGUAUGUAAAGCUCUAUCAGCAGGGAAGAUAAUGACGGUACCUGACUAAGAAGCUCCGGCUAAAUACGUGCCAGCAGCCGCGGUAAUACGUAUGGAGCAAGCGUUAUCCGGAUUUACUGGGUGUAAAGGGUGCGUAGGUGGCAGGGCAAGUCAGAUGUGAAAGACCGGGGCUCAACUCCGGGGCUGCAUUUGAAACUGUCUUGCUGGAGUGCAGGAGGGGCAAGCGGAAUUCCUAGUGUAGCGGUGAAAUGCGUAGAUAUUAGGAGGAACACCGGUGGCGAAGGCGGCUUGCUGGACUGAUACUGACACUGAGGCACGAAAGCGUGGGGAGCAAACAGGAUUAGAUACCCUGGUA
rnacentral:rRNA from 1 species